rnacentral:rRNA from 1 species
AGACCCGAAACCCGGUGAUCUAGCCAUGGGCAGGUUGAAGGUUGGGUAACACUAACUGGAGGACCGAACCGACUAAUGUUGAAAAAUUAGCGGAUGACCUGUGGCUGGGGGUGAAAGGCCAAUCAAACCGGGAGAUAGCUGGUUCUCCCCGAAAGCUAUUUAGGUAGCGCCUCGUGAAUUCAUCUCCGGGGGUAGAGCACUGUUUCGGCUAGGGGGCCAUCCCGGCUUACCAACCCGAUGCAAACUGCGAAUACCGGAGAAUGUUAUCACGGGAGACACACGGCGGGUGCUAACGUCCGUCGUGAAGAGGGAAACAACCCAGACCGCCAGCUAAGGUCCCAAAGUCAUGGUUAAGUGGGAAACGAUGUGGGAAGGCCCAGACAGCCAGGAUGUUGGCUUAGAAGCAGCCAUCAUUUAAAGAAAGCGUAAUAGCUCACUGGUCGAGUCGGCCUGCGCGGAAGAUGUAACGGGGCUAAACCAUGCACCGAAGCUGCGGCAGCGAACGUAUCACUUAAAGCGAUUCAGCGGGUUACGAUUGACGGAGCGAAGCGACGUCAAAGCGUAUACAAAGUCGAGUCGGUUUAAGGAUACGUUCGUUGGGUAGGGGAGCGUUCUGUAAGCCUGCGAAGGUGGCCUGUGAGGGUUGCUGGAGGUAUCAGAAGUGCGAAUGCUGACAUAAGUAACGAUAAAGCGGGUGAAAAGCCCGCUCGCCGGAAGACCAAGGGUUCCUGUCCAACGUUAAUCGGGGCAGGGUGAGUCGACCCCUAAGGCGAGGCCGAAAGGCGUAGUCGAUGGGAAACGGGUUAAUAUUCCCGUACUUGGUGUUACUGCGAAGGGGGGACGGAGAAGGCUAUGUUGGCCGGGCGACGGUUGUCCCGGUUUAAGCGUGUAGGUGUGUGUUCCAGGUAAAUCCGGUUCACUUUAACACUGAGGCGUGACGACGAGGCACUACGGUGCUGAAGCAACAAAUGCCCUGCUUCCAGGAAAAGCCUCUAAGCAUCAGGUAACAUCAAAUCGUACCCCAAACCGACACAGGUGGUCAGGUAGAGAAUACCAAGGCGCUUGAGAGAACUCGGGUGAAGGAACUAGGCAAAAUGGUGCCGUAACUUCGGGAGAAGGCACGCUGAUAUGUAGGUGAAGUGAUUUACUCAUGGAGCUGAAAUCAGUCGAAGAUACCAGCUGGCUGCAACUGUUUAUUAAAAACACAGCACUGUGCAAACACGAAAGUGGACGUAUACGGUGUGACGCCUGCCCGGUGCCGGAAGGUUAAUUGAUGGGGUCAGCGCAAGCGAAGCUCCUGAUCGAAGCCCCGGUAAACGGCGGCCGUAACUAUAACGGUCCUAAGGUAGCGAAAUUCCUUGUCGGGUAAGUUCCGACCUGCACGAAUGGCGUAAUGAUGGCCAGGCUGUCUCCACCCGAGACUCAGUGAAAUUGAACUCGCUGUGAAGAUGCAGUGUACCCGCGGCAAGACGGAAAGACCCCGUGAACCUUUACUAUAGCUUGACACUGAACAUUGAGCCUUGAUGUGUAG